rnacentral:rRNA from 1 species
GAUGAACGCUGGCGGCGUGCCUAAUACAUGCAAGUCGAGCGAACGGACGAGAAGCUUGCUUCUCUGAUGUUAGCGGCGGACGGGUGAGUAACACGUGGACAACCUACCUAUAAGACUGGGAUAACUUCGGGAAACCGGAGCUAAUACCGGAUAAUAUUUUGAACCGCAUGGUUCAAAAGUGAAAGACGGUCUUGCUGUCACUUAUAGAUGGAUCCGCGCUGCAUUAGCUAGUUGGUAAGGUAACGGCUUACCAAGGCAACGAUGCAUAGCCGACCUGAGAGGGUGAUCGGCCACACUGGAACUGAGACACGGUCCAGACUCCUACGGGAGGCAGCAGUAGGGAAUCUUCCGCAAUGGGCGAAAGCCUGACGGAGCAACGUCGCGUGAGUGAUGAAGGUCUUCGGAUCGUAAAACUCUGUUAUUAGGGAAGAACAUAUGUGUAAGUAACUGUGCACAUCUUGACGGUACCUAAUCAGAAAGCCACGGCUAACUACGUG